rnacentral:rRNA from 1 species
AGGACGAACGCUGGCGGCGUGCUUAACACAUGCAAGUCGAGCGGUAAGGCCCUUUCGGGGGUACACGAGCGGCGAACGGGUGAGUAACACGUGAGCAAUCUGCCCUUCACUUCGGGAUAAGCCUCGGAAACGGGGUCUAAUACCGGAUAUGACCGCGCUACGCAUGUGGUGUGGUGGAAAGUUCUGGCGGUGGAGGAUGAGCUCGCGGCCUAUCAGCUUGUUGGUGGGGUAAUGGCCUACCAAGGCUUCGACGGGUAGCCGGCCUGAGAGGGUGACCGGCCACACUGGGACUGAGACACGGCCCAGACUCCUACGGGAGGCAGCAGUGGGGAAUAUGGACAAGUGGGCGAAAGCCUGAUCCAGCAACGCCGCGUGAGGGAUGACGGCCGUUCGGGUUGUAAACCUCUUCAGCGCCGACGAGCGAGAGUGACGGUAGCGACAGAAGAAGCACCGGACCAACGUACGUCGCCAGCAGCCGAC